rnacentral:rRNA from 1 species
UCCGUAGGUGGAUAAUUAAGUCAGAGGUGAAAUCCUACAGCUCAACUGUAGAAUUGCCUUUGAAACUGGUUAUCUUGAGUUAUUAUGAAGUAGUUAGAAUAUGUAGUGUAGCGGUGAAAUGCAUAGAUAUUACAUAGAAUACCAAUUGCGAAGGCAGAUUACUAAUAAUAUACUGACACUGAUGGACGAAAGCGUGGGGAGCGAACAGGAUUAGAUACCCUGGUAGUCC